CGGCCGCGGUAUCCAACCGUGCAAAGGUAGCAUAAUAACUUGCCUAUUAAUUGUAGGCUAGCAUGAACGGGAAAACGAAAUAAAAACUGUCUCAGUUAGUUAACUAAAAAUUAUUCUCUAAACGAAGAAAAAUAGAUUAGUUCGAAGGACAAGAAGACCCUAUAGAGCUUUAUUUUAAAUAGGAUAUAACCUUAAAUAAAAUUCGGUUGGGGCGACUAGGGGAAUAAAUGACUCCCCCUCCUAAAAAGAUAAAUCAAUCUCACUAUUGACCCUAAAAAGAUCACUAAAUCAAGCUACCUUAGGGAUAACAGACUAAUCCCAUUCAAGAGUCCAUAUCAACAGUGGGGUUUGGCACCUCGAUGUUGGCUUAGAUAUCAAUAUAGCGCAAAAGUUAUACAAAGAUGGUUUGUUCAACCAAUAAUUU
rnacentral:rRNA from 1 species